UACGUAGGGGGCAAGCGUUGUCCGGAUUUAUUGGGCGUAAAGAGCGUGUAGGCGCCACACAGGUCUGCUGUGAAAACUCGAGGCUCAACCUCGAGCUGUCGGUGGAAACCGUGUGGCUAGAGUCCGGAAGAGGAGAGUGGAAUUCCCGGUGUAGCGGUGAAAUGCGCAGAUAUCGGGAAGAACACCCGUGGCGAAGGCGGCUCUCUGGGACGGUACUGACGCUGAGACGGCGAAAAGCGUGGGGGAGCCGAACAGG
rnacentral:rRNA from 1 species